rnacentral:rRNA from 1 species
GAUGAACGCUGGCGGCGUGCCUAAUACAUGCAAGUCGAGCGGACAGACGAGGAGCUUGCGCCUCUGACGUUAGCGGCGGGCGGGUGAGUAACACGUGGAUAACCUACCUGUAAGACUGGGAUAACUUCGGGAAACCGGCGCUAAUACCGGAUAAUAUAUUGAACCGCAGGGUGCAAUGGUGAAAGACGGUUUUGCUGUCACGUAUCGAUGGAUCCGCGCCGCAUUAGCUAGUUGGUAAGGUAACGGCUUGUCAAGGCAACGAUGGGUAGGCGACCUGCGGGGCGGUUAGACCACACUGGAGCUGAGCCACGCACCAGGGCACUACGGGAGGCACCAGUAUCGAACCGGCGGCAAUGGGCGAAAGCUUGACGGAGCACCGCGGCGUGAGUGAUGAAGAUCUUCGGUUCGUAAAACCCUGUUAUUAGGUAAGAACAAAUGUCUAAGUAACUAUGCACGUCUUGACGGUACCGAAUCAGAAAGCCACGGCUAACUACGUG